CUCCUACGGGAGGCAGCAGUGGGGAAUCUUACGCAAUGGGCGAAAGCCUGACGUAGCGACGCCGCGUGGGUGAUGAAGGCCCUCGGGUUGUAAAGCCCUGUGGGGAGGGACGAAAACACUUAGGGUGAACAAUCCUAGGAAUUGACGGUACCUCCUUAGCAAGCACCGGCUAACUCUGUGCCAGCAGCCGCGGUAAGACAGAGGGUGCAAACGUUGCUCGGAAUCACUGGGCGUACAGCGCGUGUAGGCGGUUACGUGCGUCGGACGUGAAAGCCCAAGGCUCAACCUUGGAAGUGCGUACGAAACGGCGUGGCUUGAGUACUGGAGAGGAGAGCGGAACUCUCGGUGUAGAGGUGAAGUUCGUAGAUAUCGGGAAGAACACCAGUGGCGAAGGCGGCUCUCUGGACAGAUACUGACGCUGAGACGCGAAAGCAUGGGGAGCAAACAGGAUUAGAUACCCUGGUAGUCCAUGCUGUAAACGAUGAGAACUGGGUGUUGCGGGUAUUGACCCCCGCGGUGCCAAAGCCAACGCGUUAA
rnacentral:rRNA from 1 species